AAACACUGGCCUUGGCGGCUGAGGGAGGAGGGUGAAGAUGAGGCAGGGGCUGCUGGUGCUGGCGCUGGUGCUGGUGCUGGUGCUAGUGCUGGCUGCAGGGUCCCAGGUGCAGGAGUGGUACCCCAGGGAGUCCCACGCCCUCAACUGGAACAAGUUUUCAGGGUUCUGGUACAUUCUGGCCACUGCCACUGAUGCCCAGGGAUUCUUGCCGGCCAGGGACAAGAGGAAGCUGGGGGCGUCCGUGGUAAAGGUGAACAAAGUGGGCCAGCUCCGCGUGCUCCUCGCCUUCAGACGGUGAGUGGGCAGCGCCCCCCAGGCAAGGGUCUCCCCUUCCAGGAGGAGGGAGCUGCCUCGGGGCUGGAAAGGAGUCUGGGAGGAGCCUGUCUGUCUGGAAGUUCCACAAGAACCGUCCCCCCACUUCCUCCCCCUAAACUCAGAGGAAGCCACCUGCAGCCCCUGGGACCCCACAUGGGUGGGUGUUGGGAGGAAGCUGCCUGCAGACCUUGGGACCCCACAUGGUGAAAGGGGUGAAGGCCUUCCACGUGCUGUCCACUGACUACAGCUACGGCUUGGUCUACCUCCGCCUGGGGCGUGCAACCCAAAACUACAAGAACCUGCUGCUCUUCCAUAGGCAGAAUGUUUCGAGCUUCCAGAGUCUGAAGGAAUUCAUGGACGCUUGUGACAUUCUGGGGCUCUCCAAGGCCGCCGUCAUCCUCCCGAAAGACGCGUCCCGUACACACACCAUCCUGCCAUGAGAGCCAGCGUCCUCUGCUCUUCCCUUUCGACGCGUGGUCCUCCCAGACCCGAGGAGCGUUGUUCCAGAUGUCAAGUGGAGACCACGGCUUGUUGAGAGGUGUUUGGUGACUCUAGGUCAUUGACAGUGUGAAAAUCAAGUGGCUCAAGGGAUCCUUUAUGAUCACAGAAAGAUGGGGGAAGGAGGAUACAGGCUGACCGGGUGGCGAGAUGUCAGCCAGGCCCCUUCCCCACUGUCUUCUGGAGCACACUGCAGGCUGCUGCUAUUCCCUGUCUGCUGUGAAACAGACCACAGGCCGGCCCAACGCAGUCCUCGCCGUGUGCCUUGCCUCUGCCCUCCACGCCGCCGCCACCCUCCGCGUUCCUUUACAUCCUGCACUUUCUCAGGAAGCCGUUCGCAUAUCCACCCAACAUGGAGGAGCCCCCAUGACGUGCCAGGCAGCGUGCUGGCCCCUGCGGCUGCGUUAGGGAACAGAAUCGGCAAACGCAGUCCCAGAGUUGAUGCCUGAUCAGGAGAAGCCAACUUCAGCAGUGUGGUCACCUGGAUACUCGAGUAUAGACCCUAGAUCACCUGGAUACUCGAGUAUAGACCCUAGAAGUGUAUCUAGGCGCGGCCAGGGCCCCACAACAGCAGGUCUGACUCAUUCCAUCCAGGGCAGCAUCAGGGAGAGCUUCCUGGGGGAAGUGGCAUUUGGGCUGACCUGGGAAGGGUGGUGGGUGUUAAGUCAGUUUGGGUGGGGCUGGAGGAGCAGGGGUGCAUCCCCAGAACAGGAUGUGACUUCUGAAAAGACAUCAGAGUAGAGAAAAUGGUUUCUCAAGGAGAUUGGGGACGCCAGUAUCAGAAUGGCGGCGGGGAGAGCCACAGAGGAGCAGGAGGGGGCCCACCAGACCACGGCACCUCGAAGGCUGCGGUGAAGGCUUAGGUCUCACUCAAGGGGUGAUGACGGGAGGUUGUCUGAGAUGAACCCCCCAACUGAAUGAAUGGACCUUCUUCUGGCCAAGGGGAUCCCAAAGAAACCCUGAACCCGAGUCCUCAGCCAUGACGGGGUAAGGGGUCAGCCCCUCCUUCUGGCCCGAGAAGAGAUCAGAGAUUGGUUCUGGGCAGUCCAUGGAGAAUUUGCUCAGCUGGACCAGUACACGCUUCUCCUUUCAUGAAUAUUCAUGACUCCUCCUGAAGCUUAUUGAACAUCUCUAUUUGGCCAUCUCCUUCAGCGUAAAUUCCUGUCCCCUCUGUCCCUCCCCUCCAAGUGUCUGUUCCAGGCUUCUGGCCUGAGGCUACGCUUCCUAGCCUGUCAGAAGGGCUGCCCUGCUGGCUGCAAUCUCUUAUGAGAAAUAAAGCUCUCCUGUGUGCAAAAAA